UCUGAGAAGAAAUAAAUUGAAGCAAUAUCAAGAUUUUAAAGAUCAAGUUUUCCAUCAAUCAAGUCUUGCAAUAGAACUAGAUCUAAAUAUCGUAACGACCCCAACAAGAUGAAAAAGAUUAAAAAAACUGCUGCAGAAAAGUCAAAAAAAGCAAUUGGAGAAUCCUCAAGAAAAACCAAAAAAGAUGAUACUACACGUCCACGUCUUCCUAAGGUAUAUAUAAUUUUUUUUGUUUUUGUAUAUGUUGGGUAUAUAAAUUUUUGGUGAGUUUUUUGUUUGAACUACAGUGAUCUAUAUAGUUAAUAUACAUAAUUGAAUAAUGGUUGUUUGUACAUUAGUAAGUAUAUAUUUGUUGCACAUACAUUAUUCAACACAUAUACAUAAGUUGGGUUUGCCAUUAUGUUUUGUUAUGUUAGUUUGAUGCACUGAACAUGUUAUGAGUAUUAUGAGUAACAUAUACAUAAACUUCACUAUGUUGUUAAACUACUACUGAGAUGUGUAGUUCAUAUACAUCAUAUUUUGCUGUGUAUAUGUGUUCAUUUUUUAUAGAGGCAGUUGAGGCAAUAGACAUAAGUUAUGUAUAUGUUAACAUAUACAUCACUUGUGAUAUGUUGUUUGCUGUGUUAUUGAAUCAAUAGUUCUCACACUUCAAUUUGUAUGCAUAUGUUGUUAAUAUACAUAGGUUUAGUGUAUGUAUUGACAACAUAUGCUCACAUAUGAUGUGUUGUUUCAUUCUCAAUAGGAUAUGAAAUACAGGAUAAAAAAAGUUCCUGCGCAUCCGUUGCAUUUCGGUAGUUAUUGCAAUUGAAAAUUUAGAGAAGAAAUAAAUAAUUAUCUUGGUGAAGAAGUUCUAAAUCUAUUUCGGCAAAUAAUUUUUGGUUCAUUCCUAGACAUGCCGCAGUCUAAUUAUCAGGGUCAAAUAUCCAAAUGCUUACUUAUGCUUGAGAUAGAGCAAGACAACCUGGAGAAAAUUCUUGUUUACGUGCAGGGACCGAUUCUCAAGUUUUCUAUUACCAAGCAUGUCAUUAUAUCCGGUCUUAAAUGUUCAGAGAACAUUGAGGAACACCUUUUUUCUAAUUCAUCAAAGUCUGUAUUAAUGGCGAAGUAUUUUUCAGGAUCAAAAAGUUCUGUUAAGAUGACUCUUUUUAUAGAGAGAUUCAAGUUGGGAAACUUUGACAAUAAUUUUGAUUCUUUGAAUAUGUCAAUAAUUUACUUCAUUCACACCUUUCUGUAUUCACAAGUACGUGAUGUUACCAUUAGUAGAUCGAAUUUUGUGAUGGUUGAGAAUGGUAGUUAUGAUCAAUUUUCAUGGGGAAAGAGUUCAUUUGAAAAGCUUAUUACAAUAUGGAUACAAGAUUUUUUUGUUGAGAAAUAGUUAUACUCGAUGGGGGGGAAUGCCUCAUGUGCUGAAUGUUUGGAUGUAUGAAUGUUGUUCUGAGGUAGAUAGUACGAUAGCUAAGUGGGUGGGAAAUGUAAUUCCACGAAUUUUUAAUUGGAAGGUUUUUGGAAUCAAAGUAAAGUACGAGAAGUUUAUGGGUGGUAUGUUCAACAAGGUAAGUAUGAUGUAUAUUAUUUCAAGCUUAUUUUUAUAUUUCAAUGUGCUGACUUUAACAGACUGUUAAUGUUGCUAUUAUUUAUUAUUUAAUAGUUUGUGUACAACAAUACAUGACCAACUCAUGAAGAAGUGCAAAGUCUUGAUUUGUAUAUGAUUGAGGGAUUUGAAUUAAAUGACGCUGAAUCUGUAUUUUCACCAGAAACUACUGUCGACCGUUCUGAUAAAAGACUUUUUGUCGACAUAACAUUUAUAAUUGGACCUCAACAUACAAGGUUUUGAGGAUUUCAGUACAGUUCCACCUAUAAAAAUUCUUAAGAAGGCAAUUUGAUUAUAUAUGCAUCAGCAUCACAACCUACUAAGAGGACAGUCCAUUUUGAUGUCGUAACUGUCGAAGAGCAAGUUUGUGAGAAACACCAUCUACUGUUUCAACAAGAACUGUACCAACUGAAAAAACACCAUCUUAUGGUUUGGGGCAUGUUCAUACCGCAAAGACAAUUCCAUCAUCAUCCAUCAAGUCAGUUUGUCAGGAUAAUUCUGAUGAAAAGUGGGACGAGAUAGAGUUGUUUUUGCAGUCUUAUGUUGACACAAAAAUUAAUUUUCUUCAUGAUCUAAUAGUCAAACAACAUGAAUACUCAAAUGAAAAAAUGGAUAAACAACACGCCGAACUCAUCCAAAUGCUGAAACACAACAACCAAAGAAAUG